rnacentral:rRNA from 1 species
UGGGGAAUUUUGGACAAUGGGCGAAAGCCUGAUCCAGCAAUGCCGCGUGUGUGAAGAAGGCCUUCGGGUUGUAAAGCACUUUUGUCCGGAAAGAAAUCCUUGGCUCUAAUACAGUCGGGGGAUGACGGUACCGGAAGAAUAAGCACCGGCUAACUACGUGCCAGCAGCCGCGGUAAUACGUAGGGUGCAAGCGUUAAUCGGAAUUACUGGGCGUAAGCGUGCGCAGGCGGUUUGCUAAGACCGAUGUGAAAUCCCGGGCUCAACCUGGGAACUGCAUUGGUGACUGGCAGGCUAGAGUAUGGCAGAGGGGGGUUAGAAUUCCACGUGUAGCAGUGAAAUGCGUAGAGAUGUGGAGGAAUACCGAUGGCGAAGGCAGCCCCCCUGGGGCCAAUACUGACGCUCAUGCACGAAAGCGUGGGGAGCAAACAGGAUUAGAUACCCUGGUAGUCCAGCGCCCUAAACGAUGUCAACUAGUUGUUGGGGAUUCAUUUCCUUAGUAACGUAGCUAACGCGUGAAGUUGACCGCCUGGGGAGUACGGUCGCAAGAUUAAAACUUAAAGGAAUUGACGGGGUCAUAGCUGUUUCC